rnacentral:sRNA from 1 species
GUCAUCUCUUCAAGCCCAAGAACAAAGUCAUCGUCUAAGAUAUUUCCCAAGACAUCCUCCAUCUCAGCAUCUCGCAUCCGUGGCAGCGAAGACUCUAAUUCACUCAGAAGCUCUUCGGCCCGUUGCCUUGUUCUACAAUCAUCCGCACCCAAAACCCUAUAC